GCGGGCGACCGGACCACUCGCCGGCCGCGCUCCUCUAGCCUCGAACCGGCUCCGAAUCACGACCUGUAUUCCAGGCUCUCUCUUUUGGACUCAUAUAGUAACCCUGGGGUAGCGGCAGCUCCGACCCGUCACCCAUGUCCGUGACCCCUCGGAUCCUAUCUAAUGGGUGCAAUUCCACUCGAAUUCUUCUUCAGUCCGGUAAGUUAACUUCCAGAAUCAUCAAGAGUGAUGAUGGAGAGGAUGGAAUGGUGCAUACUGUGUCAUUUAUCGGCUCUGGGUACUUUUACGGCAUUCGUACUCUCGCCUCAGGGAUUUAUUCCAGAAAAUUAUUGGUUCCAGUGGAGAGGCAGGAUUAUUACUAAAGAAAUUAUGGGUUCGUGUGGGGGAGACGAGAUUAUUUCCUAAAUAAAAUCGAGCGGGAGGGUAGGAAUGCCUCUACCAAGAGCGGACAAUCUCUUGGAUGUAAAAAUAUGAUUCACAGUCAUGGAUGGAAUGCUUGCUGUUCUUGCUAUCUUAACUCUCUCAAGUUCAAGGGGGUAAUAAGUAACAUUUGGAAGAUUCUUGAGGAAGUAGUGCCUUUCAUUAUACACCAUGGCCUCCAGGCUCCAGUCCUCGACUCCUCUGGCAAGUCCACAUAUGUCUCUCCAAUUGUGAUUGCCAAGGUUGGUUUGAUCUAUUUCACACUCUAUUUUACACUCUGUUUGCUGUUAAGAGUGUACAGAUUUUCUGCCUAUUUGGUUUCUGGUCUCAGUUCCUUCCUCCAUUAUCAGAACGAAUGUUGAGCAGCUAAAAUUUUGACUUCUGUCCAUAGUUCUGCUGGCCAAUACAGGCCCCAUGGGUGUUGAUGCAUACAAGGUCUCAUCUUUAUUAGUGUAUUGUGAUCUGUGGACCAGGCGGUGAAGCUCAGAAAAAAAAGAAGCAGUUCAAUGCUUUCAAUGCACAUUGAUUUCAGCUUAUUUAUUUGGCAAGGUUGAUGCAAAGCUACUAGGCACUGUUGAGGUGACAUCAAAUAUACACAGAUGUCAACAAUAAAUGAAAAACCACUCGUCGACUUGUUCGUAAAAUUCCUCCCCAUAGUUCUUUCCCUUUCAUUUCGUUCUCAAGAAACAAGUGGAUAAGAAGAGUGGCUGGUGAUUGCUACAAUGUAGUAUUACAGUAGGUCUUGCACUAGUAGCCUUUUGAGAUCAAGAAAAUUCUAUAUCUAUGGAAUGCCAUUUGGGUUGUUACAAAUGGCAAUAUAUUAAUUUUAAUGUAAUAUUGGUCUGGGUUUGGUUGACUUUUAUGAUAUAUUUGUACUUUCUCCCACACCCAAAUACAUGAAUUUCAAUUGUUUGAUCAA